rnacentral:rRNA from 2 species
AGCGAACGCUGGCGGCAGGCUUAACACAUGCAAGUCGAGCGGGCGUAGCAAUACGUCAGCGGCAGACGGGUGAGUAACGCGUGGGAACAUACCUUUUGGUUCGGAACAACACAGGGAAACUUGUGCUAAUACCGGAUAAGCCCUUACGGGGAAAGAUUUAUCGCCGAAAGAUUGGCCCGCGUCUGAUUAGCUAGUUGGUAGGGUAAUGGCCUACCAAGGCGACGAUCAGUAGCUGGUCUGAGAGGAUGAUCAGCCACAUUGGGACUGAGACACGGCCCAAACUCCUACGGGAGGCAGCAGUGGGGAAUAUUGGACAAUGGGGGCAACCCUGAUCCAGCCAUGCCGCGUGAGUGAUGAAGGCCCUAGGGUUGUAAAGCUCUUUUGUGCGGGAAGAUAAUGACGGUACCGCAAGAAUAAG